rnacentral:rRNA from 1 species
CCUACGGGAGGCAGCAGUGAGGAAUAUUGGUCAAUGGACGAGAGUCUGAACCAGCCAAGUAGCGUGAAGGAUGACUGCCCUAUGGGUUGUAAACUUCUUUUAUAUGGGAAUAAAACGUUCCACGUGUGGGAUUUUGUAUGUACCAUAUGAAUAAGGAUCGGCUAACUCCGUGCCAGCAGCCGCGGUCAUACGGAGGAUCCGAGCGUUAUCCGGCUUUAUUGGGUUUAAAGGGAGCGUAGGUGGAUUGUUAAGUCAGUUGUGAAAGUUUGCGGCUCAACCGUAAAAUUGCAGUUGAAACUGGCAGUCUUGAGGACAGUAGAGGUGGUCGGAAUUCGUGGUGUAGCGGUGAAAUGCUGAGAUAUCACGAAGAACUCCGAUUGCGAAGGCAGUUCACUGGACUGCAACUGACACUGAGGCUCGAAAGUGUGGGUAUCAAACAGGAUUAGAUACCCUGGUAGUC